GAUGAACGCUGGCGGCGUGCCUAAUACAUGCAAGUCGAGCGAACGGACGAGAAGCUUGCUUUUCUGAUGUUAGCGGCGGACGGGUGAGUAACACGUGGAUAACCUACCUAUAAGACUGGGAUAACUUCGGGAAACCGGAGCUAAUACCGGAUAAUAUUUUGAACCGCAUGGUUCAACAGUGAAAGACGGUCUUGCUGUCACUUAUAGAUGGAUCCGCGCUGCAUUAGCUAGUUGGUAAGGUAACGGCUUACCAAGGCAACGAUGCAUAGCCGACCUGAGAGGGUGAGCGGCCACACUGGAACUGAGACACGGUCCAGACUCCUACGGGAGGCAGCAGUAGGGAAUCUUCCGCAAUGGGCGAAAGCCUGACGGAGCAACGCCGCGUGAGUGAUGAAGGUCUUCGGAUCGUAAAACUCUGUUAUUAGGGAAGAACAUAUGUGUAAGUAACUGUGCACAUCUUGACGGUACCUAAUCAGAAAGCCACGGCUAACUACGUG
rnacentral:rRNA from 1 species